AUUGAACGCUAGCGGGAUGCUUUACACAUGCAAGUCGAACGGCAGCGCGGACUUCGGUCUGGCGGCGAGUGGCGAACGGGUGAGUAAUGUAUCGGAACGUGCCCAGUAGCGGGGGAUAACUACGCGAAAGCGUAGCUAAUACCGCAUACGCCCUACGGGGGAAAGCAGGGGAUCGUAAGACCUUGCACUAUUGGAGCGGGCGAUAUCGGAUUAGCUAGUUGGGGAGGUAACGGCUCACCAAGGCGACGAUCCGUAGCUGGUUUGAGAGGACGACCAGCCACACGGGGACUGAGACACGGCCCAGACUCCUACGGGAGGCAGCAGUGGGGAAUUUUGGACAAUGGGGGCAACCCUGAUCCAGCCAUCCCGCGUGUGCGAUGAAGGCCUUCGGGUUGUAAAGCACUUUUGGCAGGAAAGAAACGUCGCGGGCUAAUACCCCGUGGAACUGACGGUACCUGCAGAAUAAGCACCGGCUAACUACGUG
rnacentral:rRNA from 1 species